GACGAAAACUUACUCAGACCAAUCGGAAAUUACUAUGAAACGUUGUAAACAACUUCUACACGUUGUUUGAGGCUUUCUUAGUGGCAUCUACAGCAAAAAUGUCCAUCUGCAGAGCGUGACUUUCUUCGUAAACAGGUGAUGGAUCUUAUGAACAGGCCAUGCGUCUGCGAGCUCAUCUCAGGUGUCUGUAAGGCGGGGAUUUACAUUUUCUCAGGACAGGCAGCCAUGGAGAGAGGCCUGCUGGCAGAUCAAAGACUGCGGCUGUAAAACGAUCUGAAAGAGUCCGGCAUUAGCAUCCAUCAGGGUACCUUGAAAGCUCCCUGGUCAGCCGGGAGGGAGGCUGAGGCCCCCCAAAGUGAAAGCCCAGUCUGGAGCGGGGUAAUCGACGCAGGGAGGAGGAAGGCUGUAUAGAGGGACAGAGAAGGGAUGAAUAACUGGCGACUUAGUUAAAAACAUGAAGAAACUAUUUCCAGGAGGGAGGAAAAUUCCCAUAACAAGCUGCAAAUGUUUGUAUUCCUCCUGCGCAUGGCCCCCCUCGUCUCUUCCUCUCUGUGUCUUCCGCUAUCCAUCAGAUUUCUCCUUUACUGCUCUGCGACUGUAAGCGGAGAACAUCUCCAUCUGUGCACCAUCUCCACUGAGAGCACCAGGCCUAGACGUUUACUGCUCCACCCUGCACACUGUACUCAGGGUCACGUCUGGUCAGCAUGGGAACACUGAGGAGAAGAGCGGAGUGUGGGAA